rnacentral:rRNA from 1 species
UCCAUGCAGUUGGACGACGGUGCCAUGAAGUGGUAACACGGAGUGGUAUACGGAGUAGCGGACGGGUGAGUACAACAUGAGAAGCUGUCCUUCAGCGGGGGACAACGUCCGGAAGCGGACGCUAAUACCCCAUAGGCCGAGAGGUUAAAGCAGAGAUGCGCUGGAGGAGGUGCUCGUGCCCUAUCAGCUAGUUGGUGAGGUAACGGCUCACCAAGGCGACGACGGGUAGCCGGCCUGAGAGGGUGAACGGCCACACUGGAACUGAGAUACGGUCCAGACUCCUACGGGAGGCAGCAGUGGGGAAUAUUGGGCAAUGGGAGGAAUCCUGACCCAGCGACGCCGCGUGAACGAUGAAGGCCUUAGGGUUGUAAAGUUCUUUUAUGUGGGAAGAAGGAAGUGACGGUACCACAUGAAUAAGCCCCGGCUAACUACGUGCCAGCAGCCGCGGUAAUACGUAGGGGGCGAGCGUUGUCCGGAAUUACUGGGCGUAAAGGGCACGCAGGCUGUGAUUCAAGUCAGCUGUAAAAGGAUGCGGCUUAACCGUGUUUAGCAGUUGAAACUGGAUGACUGGAGUGCUGGAGAGGCAAGUGGAAUUCCCAGUGUAGCGGUGAAAUGCGUAGAUAUUGGGAAGAACAUCGGUGGCGAAGGCGACUUGCUGGCCAGUAACUGACGCUGAGGUGCGAAAGCCAGGGUAGCAAACGGGAUUAGAUACCCCGGUAGUCCUGGCUGUAAACGAUGAAUGCUAGGUGUGCGAGCAGAGAUGUUGGUGUGCCGCAGUUAACGCGAUAAGCAUUCCGCCUGGGGAGUACGGUCGCAAGAUUGAAACUCAAAGGAAUUGACGGGGGCCCGCACAUGCGGUGGAGCACGUGGUUUAAUUCGAUGCAAACCGAAGAACCUUACCUGGGUUUGACAUGUAUGUGGA